GACGAACCGAGCGAACGUUGUUCGGAAUCACUGGGCGUAAAGGGCUCGUAGGCGGCCAACUAAGUCGGACGUGAAAUCCCUCAGCUUAACUGGGGAACUGCGUCCGAUACUGGAUGGCUUGGAUUUGGGAGAGGGAUGCGGAAUUCCCGGUGUAGUGGUGAAAUUCGUAGAUAUCGGGAGGAACACCAGUGGCGAAGGCGGCGAUCUGGGCAGAUACUGACGCUGAGGUGCGAAAGCGUGGGGAGCAAACAGG
rnacentral:rRNA from 1 species